ensembl:lncRNA
UUCGUCCGUUCAGAUGUCUCUGGAGGAACAGCAGUGGCUCACCCCCUUGAGACUGCACUGGUGGGGCCGUGUCAGGGCCGGCACUGGACUGGCUCCACUCAGUCCUAUGAGGAGCAUCCUGCCGGCGUCACCAGGGAGCUUUGAAGCCAUCACCCGUCAGGAGCCGGGUUCAGAGGGGAGGUCAGCCCAUGGGGGACAAUCCAGAGAGCACAGAAUAAGGGCCAACAUGGGGAGGAGAGCCUGUGGCUCCUUAGGAGCUCACAGCUCCUUUGUUCGCUGCACGUCCUCACCAGCUGAGGAGGCGUCUGGUGGGAGUAGAGGGAAGACCGUGGCCUCGUGUGUGUCCUCACCAGCUGGGGAGGCGUCUGGUGGGAGUAGAGGAUGAACGUGGCCUCAUGUGUGUCCUCACCAGCUGGGGAGGCGUCUGGUGGGAGUAGAGGAUGAACGUGGCCUCAUGUGUGUCCUCACCAGCUGGGGAGGCGUCUGGUGGGAGUAGAGGAUGAACGUGGCCUCAUGUGUGUCCUCACCAGCUGGGGAGGCGUCUGGUGGGAGUAGAGAAUGAACGUGGCCUCGUGUGUGUCCUCACCAGCUGGGGAGGCGUCUGGUGGGAGUAGAGGGAAGACUGUGGCCUCGUGUGUGUCCUCACCAGCUGGGGAGGCGUCUGGUGGGAGUAGAGAAUGAACGUGGCCUCGUGUGUGUCCUCACCAGCUGGGGAGGCGUCUGGUGGGAGUAGAGGGAAGACCGUGGCCUCUGUGCGUCCUCACCAGCUGGGGAAGCGUCUGGUGGGAGUAGAGGGAAGACCGUGGCCUCGUGUGGGUCCUCACCAGCUGGGGAAGCGUCUGGUGGGAGUAGAGGGAAGACCGUGGCCUCUGUGCGUCCUCACCAGCUGGGGAGGCGUCUGGUGGGAGUAGAGGGAAGAACGUCAGCCUCAUGGGUGGCGGCCUGGCUCUGCAGUCUCCGCCGUCGCUCAGGCAGCGUUCAGUUCAGGAUGGGCCAACAGUCGGGAAACCGUUUGGGGCUGUGAAGCUGAAAUGAGGAGGUCACCUGGGAGGCAGCCACCAGCGACCAGGACUCCUCGGGAGCAGAGGGAGCCACGGAGUGACCUGCAGCUCCCCAAGAUGACCCCGCAGAGCCCCAGACCCGUGUCCAACCUCGGCGUAGGCUCCCUCUGACUCGAAGAAGUGGGGUGGGCGUUCCUUGGACCAUGUGCUCACUCGCCCAUUCCCAUCGGCCGCUCUGUGUCCUCGGCACAGCGAUGCCAUGGGGCAGGUGGCCCCAGCUGCUCAUUGUGGUCCGGGUGCCAUUUGCAGGAUAUGAGGAGCCGAGUAGGUCACACAUACUUCCGCUCUGAAGCUCUGCUGGUGCAGGGCCUGGUGGGCGACCUGUGGUCCUCGGCCAGGGCCCGGCUGUGUUGCCCAGCGCCCGCACGGCCUCACUCAGAACCAGCGCUUCCUGAAGCUCGGCCGCCAGCCUGGGCGCACCUGUGUGUGCUUGUGUUAUUUCCCCGAGAGCUGGCUCUCGAUUAAAGGGCCAUGUGAGGCCACGAGUUCUGCUUGCGGGCACACACCUGUGGAGGAUGGCGUGUUUGACAGCAGGCAGGCUCCUCGUGCCCAGUGAAGCCAGCUGUCACAGAAACACCGUGGAAAAUGUUUCCCUGAGAAAGCUCCUGUAAAUGACAACAUGGGCGUUUCUCCCAGUGUCUGAGACACUGUCCCCCCGUGGAGGGGGGUGGUGGGGCCUGCAGCUGAGCUCCAUCAUCCACGCGCCUGGCCAGCAUGGGACGCCUCCUGGUGGUCAUCACCAGAUGAGGAAUGGCCACUCACCCUUCAUUAACAGCACUGGCUCUAGGGGACCGUGGCUUCCCCAUUGUCCAAGGACCCUGGGAAGUUCCACAGUCAUCAGAGCCUUUUAUUUUCUUUUCAAGCAUUUUGACAAAAUGCCACAGAAGGAGGGGUUUCCAGCCUCCCCGGGCGGCCCCCUCCGGGUCUCAGCUUGGCUGAAGCAACUGGAAAACAUUCCCGGAAUCUUGGCCUCGAGGGAGGGUGAGGAAUGUGCAACUACUUAUGAAAUGCCGAUGCGCCG